UGGGCGGUUGAGGGAGUUGCAAUAGAGAAUGCAAUAGUCAACGUUUAUAAGCUUGUCUUUGACCAUAAUAUUAUUCCUUGAAUGUUCGAUGGUAGAUCUUUAGUGUUGCUCAAACAUCGGUCUGGUUGGAACAUGACUAAUGUUUCCAAGGCCUCUGGCCUGUAAUUCUUUGCAAUCAUGUCUAUGUUUUUCCCACUUUCCUAUGUAAACAGAUGGUACACUUCUCUUGUUCCAGGUAAAUGGUCCAGACCUUGAUGUCUCCAAAUAGCUGUCAGAUACUGUUGCUAAGUAUUGAUACAACAGUGCAUUCAUCUCCUGCUUUUUCUACUCUCGCAGCCUCAGCCACCCAUAUUGUAGUUAAUUGCCGUGGGGGUUGGAUGGGCACCCCUACCGGCCGCCUCUGUGUUAAAUGGCAGUUUUAGCACUUGCGAGAGGUCAGUGGACGUUGCCGGAGGUCAGUGGACGUGCUGUGUAAGACAACUGAGUGGCAGUGGGGAAACCAAGAAGGCUGGUGAGUGGCGUGAGAACAAAACUUUUUUCCUGGGAAAACAACACGUUCAUGAGGGAGAUCAAUGCCAUGUACCUGGAAAAACCUGAGGCCCAGUGUUUGAAAGAGGAAACACCUUUAUCAAAAUUAUCCCAUGGAGGUCUGAGUAUCUAUCAGGACUCCAGGUGUGGGCCAUCUCCAAGCGCUCCUGCAGUCUCCUGGCACAACAGGUGGGCCCUUGGGGCAGCCUGAACGCCCUUCAUGCAGGUGUCAAGUAAUCUCUCCCUAGCACGAGUUGGCUGGAGAUGGAAUCGUGGUGAAGCACACCGUGAGGACUAUGGGCAGGUUAUCCCAGUAAUGCUGGUGUUUGGAUGCGAUGUUGGCCAGCUUUUGUGCCAGUGUUUUUUGAAUGUGUAUACAAGGUCAGUCACACAUGCUAGCAAACCCACAGGACUCAAAGUUCCCAGCCUGGUUGCUGUGAAUGGACUCAGCAUUGGCAGUUUUGGAAGAGGUGAGGGCAUCGACAACGGUCCCUGCGUCCUGGCUGGGCAGGGCUUAUUUUGUAAAAUAGUCCAUAGCCUUGAGCACCCAAUGGUUUCCAUUUUCUGUGCUUUGGAGCAGCUUGACCACAUCCCCUCCCCACUCCCUCCACGGGAGCCACGAAUGGAAGCUGCAGAAGCUGCAUGGGAAUGACCCAGAGGACCCUUCCUCGCUGUGCAGCUGUCGCAGCGGUAACAAAAAUCCUCUGCAUCCGUCCUGCGCUGACCCCAGGAGAAACCCUGGCGGAGGGUCUUUGUGACCCCAACGUCCAGAUCCCUCCUACUUAUGCCCUGGAGCACAGCGUCCCACAGAGCUAUUGGGAAAACCACCUGCCACCUCUCCUCUCCAGUAGCUGGCUCCUGUAAGGACAAUGUAGGUUGCCAUCAGCGAGACGCAGAUUAUCAAACUUUGACCGUAGCUCUUUGGUAUCAUGUGGGAGCACCGCUACCUCUUCCCCAGGUGGUCUCUGAAGCCUGCCCACUGCAUUUCCCACACUGCCACAUUAUCUGCCACUUCCUGGGGCACCAAUAGGAUAUGAUGGGGACACAUCCUGAUGGGGUGUGUGUUCUGCCCUUCCCCUCAUGCAACUCCUCCAGCCACAGGAACGUCUCAAGGUUGCAAACAUAGUGUGCUCUCUGGGUUAUUAGCAACUUAGCUGAAAAUGCGCUUCUCCAGUGGCAAUGAGUUUUGAAAGAGUUAGUUGAUAUAUAUGCAUUUUAAUACCAGUAUCUACUUUUGUCCUAUGUAUAAAGACAUUAUUUUCAUCUCACUGCUGCAAUCUGCAGUUCUUGCCGGUUAGUUGGUUUGCAUGAGCUUGCAUUGACUUGUAAUCUCUUAGUUGUUUUAGAUACUUGCAGUACUUUCCUUCCCAAACUAAACCACCCUGGACUAACUGAUACUAUUCUGGUCUUGUUCAGUGAGGCAAGGAGGAGGAGUCAUAUAAGGAGGAGGAGUCAUAUAAUUGGUUAAAAUCCAAUCCUGUAUAUGUUAGAGGGAGGAUUCUACACAGUGCACCUUUACAAACACAUUGCAUUGCCCCAGCGUUCAAACUGUCUAAAGGAGAAUUCUGUGUAACCAGUGAGGUCAUCGAUGUUCAAGGGUGUUAUACAGAGUGCCACUGGCUGGCAAGUUCAUUGCCCUGAAUAUACUCACAACUUUGCUCAUGCCUCCCUGUCAUUUACUUAUAUUAUUGUACAUUAAU